rnacentral:rRNA from 1 species
UACGGAAGGUCCGGGCGUUAUCCGGAUUUAUUGGGUUUAAAGGGAGCGUAGGCCGGAGAUUAAGCGUGUUGUGAAAUGUAGAUGCUCAACAUCUGAACUGCAGCGCGAACUGGUUUCCUUGAGUACGCACAAAGUGGGCGGAAUUCGUGGUGUAGCGGUGAAAUGCUUAGAUAUCACGAAGAACUCCUAUUGCGAAGGCAGCUCACUGGAGCGCAACUGACGCUGAAGCUCGAAAGUGCGGGUAUCGAACAGG